UACUGAUUUUGUUUUUACUUUUUUUUAUUUUAAACCUAUUUUGUUUUUAAAAUACACUUAUAUCCUUUCUAGCAAUGACCCAAAUACUUGUUCAGAAAUUGGAGUGACUGAGGAAAAAAAACACAGAAACCAAUCUUAAGAAUCAGCAAAAAUCCCUGCUGGGCUACCAAGGGUCCUUCUUUCAGAGUUUAAAGUCAUUCAUCUAAGAACAGAUGGACUAAUACAUCAAAGCUAAUAUAACAGUUGCAAAAAGCUCCUGGGUCUUUGUUCUCUGGCCAAAUAUUUGCAUUCUGUGUCUUGAAUCAAAACUUUUAAUUUCUAGUGUUAAUGUUUUACUCACUGAUGACUUCUUUAAUUUGGACUUUUUCUUUAAAAUGCAUGACAUAGGCAGGCUGAGCUUUCAGAAAAUAUGUUUAACCUUAUAAAGAUCUACACAUAGGUGUAAUGGUCUUAUGUUAGGAGACGCACAGUAAAGUUAGUUGUGUUAAAGUAAAAUCAAUACAGAAGAGAAAAUUAGAAAGGAAACAGAUUUUUCUUCCCUCUUUCUUUUCUUUUUUCCCUGUCACUAGGCUGUGUGAGUUUGGAACUCUAGGAAUUAUAACAUUAUAAAAAUGUCCAGGUUUCCAUUCUAAUGGGUUCCAGGUUUUCCUGCUAUGGGGAUGAAACCAGCAGACUUAGUAAAUCCUUAUUUAUUUGUCCCAAAGGCCAGGCAAAACUCUUUCUUCUCUGGUGCUGGUUUCUAUUCAUUCAUUGCCUCUUCUCAGGUUCUUUUGCUGCCCAUCAUUAAUCUUUCAAGCUACAGCUGGGUGGGUUCAGAACAAAACCAUCAGAGGAGCUGAAAAAUGAAAUAUUUACCUGCACCAAUGGGGAAAAAAGGCCUAUCAACCUUGUCUAUUCAGCGCAAUCACAUUUUUAUUUUAUUUUAUUCACUUUCUAGAUAAAAGACAAGAUACAUAUAUACACUCACACACAUAUAUAUAUAUUCCCUCUCUGUGUUAAUACAUUUUUUUUUUUUUACUAUCUAUCUUCAUUUGUAAUGAGUGUAAUAUAUAGAGCUCAGUUAGUUACCAUGGAGACACUGGUCCUCUGUUUCUUAUCACAGAGCCACACUAUCGUCUGGUGUCAGCCAAGGAGGGAUGACAAAGGCCUCCCCAAGAGCCUAGCUCUGCAAUUACUGAGCAAUCAAGCGCCUCUUUUAAUAGAGCACAUCCAGGAAUGAUAAAGCAUAAAGAAAAAACGUGGAAAAAAUAUGAAGGCCUAGUAUUCCAAGGCUCAAAAAGAGGCUAAAAUUUGAAUUAAGGGGUUAGAAGAUUUUUUUCUCGUCUUUGUAAAAUUGAGUAGAUAAAAGGACAUGGAGAGAAACAGGACUGUUUGACAAUCCUUCUCCUAUGAUACCACCCCAAACAUAAAAAGAUCUAAAUGGUAGCUCACCAAAUAAUGUCUGCAUAAAAAGAAUAAAAACAAGUCUGCAUAAACACUUUAGGAAUUUUAAUUAUACUUUUUGUUUGCUGCAUAUUUUUUCCUUUGUUCAGGGACUUGCAAUGGGAAAGGAAGCUGUGCCCCAAGAAAAUUCCCAGAAUGCACCAUGAUUUGUGCUGCAUUUGAAGCCUCUGCUUAUUAAGGACACCUAUGAGUUUCUUCUUUGUUUUUUAAGAGGACAGAACCCAGUAAUAACUCAAAUGCUCAGACCUCUCCCCAGACAUCAUUUUUCUAACAGUCCAAGAGGAGCUGAUUCAAGGUCAGAGGUCAUAGGCUGUGCUCCCAUUUGCCAGCUGGCAGUAAGCUCCAAGGACAGAGGGUGCAAGAAGCGUGACGAUUCCUGAAGAUACUCAUUCACAAAGCACUGAGAAUAUCCCCACGGAUACCUCAGAAAUACUCAUUUUAUGUCAGUUUGGUGGGUUGGAGAAAAGGGGGUCAAUUUUCUGGGAUAGCUUUGCAGAGCUUCACAUCUCUGAUCUCAUCUCACUGAAGCUGACUUUAUUUUACAAUAACACAAUAAAGUCUAAGAGAGGAUAAAAAGUUUCUAUUAUAAACAUUAUCUGCCCUGUGACUCAGAACAGAGCUAUACUGACUAAAAGGCAAAUAUCUGGAAACCUCAGUUGAGAGAAACAGUGGCUAGUAUGAACAUUCUAUCUAGAAUGACAAGAAAAUUUCCAGACAGAGGGAAAUCAGGAUAUUGAAAUGUUGAUCUACAGUAAUUUGGGGUGGUAUUAUCCCCAUUUUACAAGUGAAGAAUCUGAAGCUCAGAUAGGCGCCUGCCCCUGGCUCAGUGCCUGGUGCCAACAGAACACCUUUCAGGAUCCACAGCAACGCAGACAACAUCUUUAUGCUCCCUUCUCUGCCUUCUUCCGAGCUGUAGAAUUGGCAUCUUUCCCUGAGGUUUUCCGAAUGGCAAGUGGCACCGGCUGUGGCAUGUAUUCAUGCCGCUUCCUAUGGCAUUUCUCUUCCGAUGUCUGCUUUUUCUCUUUGUUUGUUGUUGACUAGGCUGAAUGGAGUCCAAGAUCCUGGCCUCUGCUUGGAACGGAACAGUGUCAUGGCGGAGACGACGGCCUUUGUCUUGCUGGGUGUGAAAGCAUCCGCUGUGCUGGCUCCACUGCGGCAGAAUCAAGUUUAAAGGAAGAAAGUGAUUAAAGUCAGCUUUGUGCCUCUUUGGUGUGGAAGACCCCCAAACCCCAAGUAGCCGAGUCCCUGGGUCCGAGGAAGGGCUCAUAGUUGGAGCAGCCUAGGCUGUAAUCCUGGCACUUGCGCCUUCGGUUGCUGCUUUCUGUUCGCUCCUGGGGGUCUGGAUAAUCUCCCUUGGCUUUACCGCACUGCCUGGCCCGCAUACAGGGCCCUCGUAACAUAUACCCGCUGCUGCUAUCGCACGAAACUGUGGCGUUGCCCCUGAAUGGAUGGCACUGUGCCAACUCUUCUGCCAUCCGCCCUUGCAGCUUUUUUCUUUCCUCCCUCCCUCCCCUUCUUCUCCUCCUCCUCCCGUCGACUUGACGUUAAUUAACACACGGGUUAAUUGAUUUUAAAAGCCGAAGAAUUACAGUUAACUUUUCCCACAGGGUACAGACGCCAGCCGCUUGGCACACUCUGCCUUUCGCACUGGUGCAGGGGGGCAGGGAAAGCCCGCAGCAAAACUGGCAACUGCUGAGGGAACGUUGCCUGCUUAUUGGAGUAGAGCCGAUAGAAGUCGACAUGGUACUGCCUCAUCCUUACAGUAUAUAUAGACAUUCUAUAUUUUGUUAAAUAAUCAAAGCACACUCUGUCUUUCUUCUCCCUCCAUCUUUCAAAACAGGAAAACCCUUCAGAAGUUCUUGGGGGGGUGGGGGGAAUCCCUCCCCUAGCCCAUUUAUCUCAUCCUUAAUAUGCUUUUUUUCCAAUAAGAAGAAAAUCCUUGAAGCCUCUUUUCACUUACAAGGAGGAAGGCUACCCUUUCCCUAAAUAUCACCCCUAAAGAAAAAAAAUUUUUUAAGGAAAAAGUUCCAUAAAGUUUCUUACUCUGUAUUUAGUGUUUUAAUUUGUUCUCAUUCCUCUUGACUCAGAUGAGUUAUUUAUGAUGGAAGAUUUCACCAGGAAAGUAGGUACAUUGUAAUUAAGAACAAAAUUCAUGUGAAAGCUCUUUUUGUUUGUAUGUUUGUAGAUUUUUGCUUUCUGUCCCCUUCACCCCUUCCCCUGUAGAAAAUGAAAGCAGUUGAUACUGUAGUUGGGAAGGAGACAGGCGAAGCUGGAAACGAUGCUUUCACCUUUUCAUGCUUUCAUUUUAUUUCAUUUUGUUUUUUAAAAGCAUGCAGCAAGUGAAGCGACAAGAGGAAUCCAUUAUGCAAAUCAUGUCACUUUGCAUAAUGUCUCAUGACUGGAAUAUGCAAAUGAGCUGUAUAAUUUAUGAGUGCCAGUGUCUGUCUAAAAGUGUUUCACAUAAUUUACAAAGUGAGUCUGAAAGACAUGGGGAAAGCAGCUCUUCCAACCCCACUGCCAAGGAAGCUCUGUAUAUUUUCCUAUAAGUGCUCCCUGGUAAUAUUGUCAAGUGCUAUUUAAAAGAAAUUAAGGUUCCAAAUAUUCAUGAAAGACAAAGCUUUUCCUCUCAGUCUCUUCACCCAAAUUCUUUGCCUAAAAAUUUACAAGAAACUAAAAGACUCUAAAGUAUUAAUUUUUGUAUUCAAUUGGAAAAAAAAGUUUGAACCCAACUUGCUAUUUGUGUAUGGAUUUUCCUUUCUAAAGCAAGGUAUGUCUUAGAGAAGCAGACACCUUAUCUAUUUGUCUGGAUAUUUGAAGACAAUAAAAUGGGAUUUCUCAUUUUGGUUGGUUUUGUGUGCCCUGCUAUGUGCAACAUUUUAUACAUUAUAUUUUCUUGGAUGUGUAAGAUAUUUAAUAUGGAAGUCAGAUGCUUUUAAAAUUCCUCUGGAGGUAUAUAAUUCUGCUUUCAGAGAUGUCUUCAAAAGAGAAAUGCCUUUCAUUAACUAGGUUUAAGUUCACUAAGUCAGCUUACUUGGCUGAUCCUUGUCUUAAUUUGGUAACUUUUUUGAGUCAAUGAUUUUGAGCCCUUUAAGAAACCUUAACAUUUUUGAUAAUCUGCCCUAAACUGCCCUUAUAUUUUUCAUUUCAAUCAUAGUAAAUUCUGUGAGAGAAACAUACAGGGUGCCAUGAAAAUGUAAACCAGGAGUAACUGAUCAUGUCAGAAAAGGCUUCCUGAAGAAAGUGACUUCAAGGUGAAUGCUGAAAAUUGAAGAGAAAUUAGACAAAAAGAGGGAGAAAAUAUUUUCCAUGUAGAGAAAUAUAUUCAGUAAACUUUAAGACAACAAGAAAUUUGGCUGCUUGGAAGAACUAAAAACCUCUGUGGCCAGAGUAUAGACAGUGGGUCAUUGAAUCAUACUAGGAGCAGAUUAGAAGGCAUUUGAAAUACGUUAUGGAGGAGAAAAAGAAAAUGUUGCUGCCCUAAUGAGCUUACAUUCUCAUGGGGAUGGAGGACAUAGACAAAGAACAAAGAGGUGUAUCUUGUGCCAGUGACAUUAGUAACAGCUGAAAAGGAUUCAUCUCCUUGGUUUACUAAGCAGAAGAUAGUUACCAGAACUGAUCCGUUCUAGAAAGGAGGCAAAGAUUUUAAAGCCAUAGGUAACUAUCAUGGAUAUUCACAAUGGCAAUCCUAAAGGAUUUGGAAUCUCUGCAUCACCUAAAAGAAAAGCACCAGUGAGAGUCAAGAUGCAACUCCAGACAAGUGCCACUCCUUACUCAAAAUGUGUCAAGGUCAGGUGUGGAUGAUGUGUUCAGAUCUGUGCCAGCUACUGUGAAGACAGGAAGACUGGAAGGAAAAAACACAAUAAUUUUGUGAAGGGAUUACAUGCUUUGGAUAGGUUCUGAAAUCUUUUGUCUGGAGAAAUUCG